rnacentral:rRNA from 1 species
GAUUGAUCCUGGCUCAGGACGAACGCUGGCGGCGUGCUUAACACAUGCAAGUCGAGCGGUAAGGCCCUUUCGGGGGUACACGAGCGGCGAACGGGUGAGUAACACGUGGGUGGCCUGCCCUCAGCUCUGGGAUAAGCCUGGGAAACCGGGUCUAAUACCGGAUAUGACUUCACGGUGCAUGCCGUGAGGUGGAAAGCCUUGUGCGGCUGAGGAUGGGCCCGCGGCCUAUCAGCUUGUUGGUGGGGUGAUGGCCUACCAAGGCGACGACGGGUAGCCGGCCUGAGAGGGCGACCGGCCACACUGGGACUGAGACACGGCCCAGACUCCUACGGGAGGCAGCAGUGGGGAAUCUUGCGCAAUGGGCGAAAGCCUGACGCAGCGACGCCGCGUGAGGGAUGACGGCCUUCGGGUUGUAAACCUCUUUCAGCUCCGACGAAGCGAAAGUGACGGUAGGAGCAGAAGAAGCACCGGCCAACUACGUGCCAGCAGCCGCGGUAAUACGUAGGGUGCGCGUUGUCCGGAAUUAUUGGGCGUAACGAGCUCGUAGGCGGUCCGUCGCGUCGGCUGUGAAAACUCGGGGCUCAACUCCGAGCUUGCAGUCGAUACGGGCAGACUAGAGUUCGGCAGGGGAGACUGGAAUUCCUGGUGUAGCGGUGAAAUGCGCAGAUAUCAGGAGGAAACCGGUGGCGAAGGCGGGUCUCUGGGCCGAUACUGACGCUGAGGAGCGAAAGCGUGGGGAGCGAACAGGAUUAGAUACCCUGGUA